rnacentral:rRNA from 1 species
GCCUAGCCGUAAACAAUUUAUUUACAUAUUCUAACGCCCGGGUAUUACGAGCAAUGCUUAAAACCCAAAGGACUUGACGGUGUCCCACCCACCUAGAGGAGCCUGUUCUAUAAUCGAUAAUCCCCGCUUUACCUAACCAUUCUUUGCCUAAUCAGUCUGUAUACCUCCGUCGAAAGCUUACCAUAUGAACGCCCAUAGUAAGCCUAAUGAUUACUCACCAACACGUCAGGUCAAGGUGCAACCUAUAGAAUGGAAAGAAAUGGGCUACAAUUUCUAAAGUAGAAUAAACGAAAGACUGCCUGAAACCCCGGUCAUGAAGGAGGAUCUAGUAGUAAAAAGAGAAUAGAGAGCUCUUUUUAAUCCGGCACUGGGACGCGUACACACCGCCCGUCACCCUCUUCAAUAGUUCUUUAUCUAGAUUAUUAUCAAAUUAACCACGCCUUAGAAGAGGCAAGUCGUAACACGGUAGGGGUACUGGAAAGUGCCCCUGGUACACACCAAAAUGUAGCUUAACAAAAGCCCCUCGCUUACACCGAAGUGAUAUCUGUUAAACCCGGAUCAUUUUGAGCCUAAAAUCUAGCUCAUUUUACUCCUAUGCCCUCUAAUUUUACAGAUCCAAAACAAACCAUUUUAACUUUUUAGUACAGGCGAUUAAAAAAUUUCUAUGGCGCUUCAGAUAAAGUACCGCAAGGGAAUGAUGAAAUAGUUAUGAAACAGCUUUAAAGCCUAAUACAGCAGAGAUUUAACCUCG